CAGCAGCCGCGGUAAUACGAAGGGGGCUAGCGUUGAUCGGAUUUACUGGGCGUAAAGCGCACGUAGGCGGACUUUUAAGUCAGGGGUGAAAUCCCGGGGCUCAACCCCGGAACUGCCUUUGAUACUGGGAGUCUUGAGUUCGAGAGAGGUGAGUGGAAUUGCGAGUGUAGAGGUGAAAUUCGUAGAUAUUCGCAGGAACACCAGUGGCGAAGGCGGCUCACUGGCUCGAUACUGACGCUGAGGUGCGAAAGCGUGGGGAGCAAACAGGAUUAGAUACCCGCGUAGUCCCUGUCUCUUAUAC
rnacentral:rRNA from 1 species